GACCAAGGAUUCUAACACGUGCGCGAGUCGCAGGGCCGUACGAAACCCGGAGGCGCAAUGAAAGUGAAGGCCGGCCUCGCGCCGGCCUAGGUGGGAUCCCGGGGCGAGAGAUCGCGACGGGCGCACCACCGGCCCGUCUCGGCCGCCGCGUCGGCGAGGCGGAGCGAGAGCGUACUUGUUGGGACCCGAAAGAUGGUGAACUAUGCCUGAGCAGGACGAAGCCAGAGGAAACUCUGGUGGAGGUCCGCAGCGAUUCUGACGUGCAAAUCGAUCGUCAAACUUGGGUAUAGGGGCGAAAGACUAAUCGAACCAUC
rnacentral:rRNA from 1 species